AUUGAACGCUGGCGGCAGGCCUAACACAUGCAAGUCGAACGGUAACAGGAAACAGCUUGCUGUUUCGCUGACGAGUGGCGGACGGGUGAGUAAUGUCUGGGAAACUGCCUGAUGGAGGGGGAUAACUACUGGAAACGGUAGCUAAUACCGCAUAACGUCGCAAGACCAAAGAGGGGGACCUUCGGGCCUCUUGCCAUCGGAUGUGCCCAGAUGGGAUUAGCUAGUAGGUGGGGUAACGGCUCACCUAGGCGACGAUCCCUAGCUGGUCUGAGAGGAUGACCAGCCACACUGGAACUGAGACACGGUCCAGACUCCUACGGGAGGCAGCAGUGGGGAAUAUUGCACAAUGGGCGCAAGCCUGAUGCAGCCAUGCCGCGUGUAUGAAGAAGGCCUUCGGGUUGUAAAGUACUUUCAGCGGAGAUGAAGGGAGUAAAGUUAAUACCUUUGCUCAUUGACGUUACCCGCAGAAGAAGCACCGGCUAACUCCGUG
rnacentral:rRNA from 1 species